AUGCGUCGAUCAAGGACUGGUGCCAGAAGCGGGGCACCAAGGGGGAGCAUGUGGUGUACACGGCCGAGUUCAUGGUGGAUGCCGGCUUCGGCGAGCCAGGCGCUGGCGUGGUGGCCAUCCGGAACCACCGCGAGUUCUUCCUCGUCGAGGGCAGUGGGCUGCCUUGCGGCACCGUGCACUUCGCCUGCAAAUCCUGGGUCUUCUUAA
rnacentral:rRNA from 1 species